rnacentral:rRNA from 1 species
GAUGAACGCUAGCGGCAGGCUUAAUACAUGCAAGUCGUGGGGCAGCACAGGUAGCAAUACUGGGUGGCGACCGGCAAACGGGUGCGGAACACGUACGCAACCUUCCUUUAAGCGGGGAAUAGCCCAGGGAAACUUGGAUUAAUACCCCAUAAGACAGUGGAGUGGCAUCACUCAGCUGUUAAAGCUCCGGCACUUAAAGAUGGGCGUGCGGCUGAUUAGGUAGUUGGCGGGGUAAAGGCCCACCAAGCCGACGAUCAGUAACUGGUGUGAGAGCACGACCAGUCACACGGGCACUGAGACACGGGCCCGACUCCUACGGGAGGCAGCAGUAAGGAAUAUUGGUCAAUGGACGCAAGUCUGAACCAGCCAUGCCGCGUGGAGGAUGAAGGCCCUCUGGGUUGUAAACUUCUUUUAUUGGGGAAGAAACCGGACUUUUCUAAGGCCGU